CCCUAAAACAGUAUUGAGCAAUUCCAUACCCCUAUGGAACUUAUCCUGCUAAAAUUAGUAACCCGAAGAACCCCCUUCUCAACGAUUCAAACGUAAAUCAGAACGGACAAACCACUGAUAAUUAACGCCCAUGAGCUGCUGGCGGCAACCCAACAAGAAAACCCCGCCCCCCACCUACGUUAACCUGACACAAGAGAAUCUAAAGAAAGAUUAAAAUAAGCGGAAGGAACUCGGCAAACCUCAGCCCCGCCUGUUUACCAAAAACAUCGCCUCUUGCCUUAAUAAGAGGUCCCGCCUGCCCAGUGAUCCGAUUCAACGGCCGCGGUAUCCUGACCGUGCGAAGGUAGCGUAAUCACUUGUUCUUUAAAUAAGGACUAGUAUGAACGGCACCACGAGGGCUGUACUGUCUCCCGCCUCUAAUCAGUGAACUUAAUCUCCCCGUGAAGAAGCGGGGAUAUUACCAUAAGACGAGAAGACCCCAUGGAGCUUAAAACAACGGGCACCUGCUAACAAUCAAAGUUAAGCACCUUGACCCUACGUUUUCGGUUGGGGCGACCACGGAGAACAACUCACCCUCCAUGAUGAAAGAUGACAAUCUUAGCCAAAACAACCCAUUUAAGCACCAGAACCCUGACAUUCAUUGACCCAAUCACUUGAUCAACGAACCAAGUUACCCUGGGGAUAACAGCGCAAUCCACUUCAAGAGCCCCUAUCGACAAGUGGGUUUACGACCUCGAUGUUGGAUCAGGAUUCCCAAGUGG
rnacentral:rRNA from 1 species